UACACUUUCCUCCAACAAUGUCUGCACUAGGAAAAGUAUAACACAUAUUCUACCAACACAUUAGCACCCACAAUAAAACUAUUAGGAGGGAACUUCAAACCCUGCAAAUUGCGGUAGCUACAUACAGCUGCAGUAGUUAAAUUAGCUUGUCAAUGCUAACUAUCAGCGCUGCUAGCAUGGCCAGAUAUCGAGGACUCAUCAAGUCCCAAAAAUGAAACCUUUUUUGAGAUAGCUGCAGCAGCAAUACGACCAGAGCGCUGGAUUUUAACAUGUGGUUUAUAGAGUCGCACAAUAAUGGAUUCCUCCCAGGCUUAUCGAAGAAAUCGACUUUACUGAUUUGUUCUUUGCUACACCAGUGCGAUUGUCCAUGUCUGACACCAUCAUGCCCACACUUGCAUGUAAGCGAACCCUCAGCAGAUUGUCAAGAUGAAAUGAACGGUAUGAAAGCUAAGAGCAAACCCAGGAGAGAAAAAAAACUGCAGAGAAAUAAAGAACAGUGGACUCUGAAGGGAGGAAACAGCCGCACUGUAGAAGACAGCUGCGAGGACGAUGAUGGAGAGAGUGACGACACCUCCAAUAAAACUGCACCAUCCGUUUCUCGGCUGCAGGAGAGGGUGCUGUCACCGCUCACUUAAUGCCUCCGCUCUGAAGAAGUCGCGGUGGCAGGUGAGAGCGGAGAGCGUCGCUCCUGUUGUACGUGACAUCCAUCCCGGCCACUUAAAAAUCACAACAGGCUAUGAAAACAGCCUCUCUCUUUUAUUUUUUGGGUGUUUGUAUUUUGUCACACAUCCUGACAGAUGUCACCCUUUAACUACAUCUUCUGCUUCAAACGUCCCAGAUGUCUCCUGUCCACCACCAGAGGGAGACACACACCUUUGUCAUAUUCCCGCCGAACACGGACAAAAACGCGCCGGUGAAGGGACCUGCAAGAAAACCACUUGCUUGAACUUCCCUGAUGGCAUCCCUCCCAGGAAACAGAGCUCAAUAAUUCAUAACAGGCACUCAUAAAUUUCAAUGAGUUUCUAAUUAGGAGGAGCCCGGAGUAAUUGUCUCUGAGGCGGUUCUAACAGGAGGAGGAUCACGCUGACAGAUUGACAGAGUCCUUGUGGCAGAUUGCUGCAAAUCACCUAAUUAUGAGCAAAAGUCAAACUUUGGGGCUUUUAAUGAUGAUUAUUUUGGCUUUAUUGGAUAAUUUCACGAUCGACGGAGAAAGGAGGGUGAGCGAGGACGAUGCGUGACAAAUGUCCCACUCAUGAAUAUGACAUUUUCAUCUGUGCUUGAUCUCUAUCCUUCAGUUUUUUUCUUUUUUUUGACACAUCAGGUUUGCAGCUCUGCCCUCUUGCGAAGUCUAUAAAAAGAUCUGUCGCCUGUAAAAUGUCUGGUUGAAGGUGCCAUAUGCAAGAAUUUGCCAUCUGUUGAUCUCAUACUCCAAACAAUUGGGGGGCAGCGUAUCACCAGAGUGACUGCUAACACCUUAUAGCCGCUGUAAGCUCUGUUAGCAGUGUAGCUAGUGGAUUCAGUAGUGACUGGCUAUCUCAUUCUGAGUGGCAUUAUGAGACAGGGCGGGUCGAGGCUAGCUGGUUAGCAUGCUCAGUUUAAUGGAGAUCUGCAACACGAGGCACAGACGUCUUCGGUAUAACAUCUAAAUAUUUAGAUAUUGCACCUUUAAAGUAUAAUUGAUGGCUUGGAUAUACUACUAUUCCUAGAUAUACUACAUUAUAGAGUCAUUUUGUGAAAUUAAUGUGCAAUGAGUAAAUACACAUGUCCAAAAUAAAGCAGUGCAAGAGAAAGACUUGCAUUCCUCAGAGGUUGCAGUCUCUUGGA